rnacentral:rRNA from 1 species
GACAGAGGGUGCAAACGUUGUUCGGAAUUACUGGGCGUAAAGCGCGUGUAGGCUGCUCGGAAAGUCGGAUGUGAAAGCCCUGGGCUUAACCUAGGAAGUGCAUUCGAAACUUCCGAGCUGGAGUUCUGGAGAGGAAGGCGGAAUUCUCGGUGUAGAGGUGAAAUUCGUAGAUAUCGAGAGGAACACCGGUGGCGAAGGCGGCCUUCUGGACAGUGACUGACGCUGAUGCACGAAGGCCAGGGGAGCAAACGGG